ACCACGGGACACAAACCCUGUUGUCUUCCCGUUUAUGGCUGAGGAAACAGAACCCCCAAAGUCUCAAGGAUAGCCUGCCCGCCCCCUUUGCAGAGCUGUCCUGUAGCUGGAGUCUAAGCUUGCUCUUGGCCUCUGCACCCACCGACCGAUCAUCAACGAAGCGGCCCUUGCCAGUUGACCACAGAGGGCUGUAACUCACGGAUGUGUGCACUGGAAAAAGGCGAUCUGUGACGACAAAGAGGACUUCUUCUGCCCCAUGGUUACUCAACGAGGGAGUGAAUUUCACCCAAAAGUAGAAAAUGAGAGUGGGGAAAGAGACUCCAACGUUCUUUCCUUUCUCUGUGUGCACAACUUCCGGUUCCCGCACCCUUUAAAGGCAGCCUCCUUCCAUUCUGUUGCUAACACCAUGAGGCUCACAGGGCAGACUUCUUACCGUCUCCCUUUUACUGAAGAUGAAAAACGCAGGCCCCGACAGCUCAAGGACCAGCCAAAGGCCAUUGACAACGCUGCAGGGUAAAUUUAACAGGAUUGUCACAGGAUUAAAAGAUGCAAGUCAUGGACCGCGUGGAAUCUGUCUUCCUGUGCAAAAUCGGAGGGCUGGACCGCAGCUGGGCUUACCACUGACCAAAUCAGGCUGGCAGCCAGAGGAUACCCAAGAAAGCCCAAUUUCCUGAGACCUGCAACUUCCCACCAGACACAGCAAUGCUUCUUCUGAACUUUUGAGCCCAUUUUACAGAAGAAAGUGUGAAGGUCAGAGGAGACUUAUGAAGCUGGCAAAACUACAACAAGGAACCCC